GACGAACGCUGGCGGCGUGCUUAACACAUGCAAGUCGAACGGUAAGGCCCUUCGGGGUACACGAGUGGCGAACGGGUGAGUAACACGUGGGUGAUCUGCCCUGCACUUCGGGAUAAGCCUGGGAAACGGGGUAUAAUACCGGAUAGGACUCCGGACUGCAUGGCCUGGGGGGGAAAGCUUUUGCGGGGUGGGAUGGGCCGGCGGCGUAUCAGGUCGUUGGUGGGGUGAUGGCCUCCCGAGGCGACGACGGGUAGCCGGCCUGAGAGGGUGACCGGCCACACUGGGACUGAGAUACGGCCCAGACUCCUACGGGAGGCAGCAGUGGGGAAUAUUGCACAAUGGGCGCAAGCCUGAUGCAGCGACGCCGCGUGAGGGAUGACGGCCUUCGGGUUGUAAACCUCUUUCAGCAUCGACGAAGCGAAAGUGACGGUAGGUGCAGAAGAAGGACCGGCCAACUACGUGCCAGCCGCCGCCGUAA
rnacentral:rRNA from 1 species